CGUUAGCGGCGGACGGGUGAGUAACACGUGGGUAACCUACCUAUAAGACUGGGAUAACUUCGGGAAACCGGAGCUAAUACCGGAUAAUAUUUCGAACCGCAUGGUUCGAUAGUGAAAGANGGUUUUGCUAUCACUUAUAGAUGGACCUGCGCCGUAUUAGCUAGUUGGUAAGGUAACGGCUUACCAAGGCGACGAUACGUAGCCGACCUGAGAGGGUGAUCGGCCACACUGGAACUGAGACACGGUCCAGACUCCUACGGGAGGCAGCAGUA
rnacentral:rRNA from 1 species